AAGACUAUAGACCUGCGGAGUACCUGCGGAAGGAUCAUUAUCGUAUUGUAACAAUUGGGGGGGCCACCGUGGGCUGUCGCUGACCCUUUGAAAGGGGGUCGUGCACGCCCCCAUAGUGUCAUCCUCAUACAAUCCAACUCACCUCUGUGCAUCACCGCGUGGGUUCCUUUCUGGGUCGAGUCAGACUGGCUCAGAAAAAAGGGGCUUGCGUUUUCCAUACAAAUACCCUUAUAAAUCCAG
rnacentral:misc_RNA from 1 species